UCCCAAGUGGUCCAGUGGCUAGGACUCUGCACUCUCAAUGCAGGGAGCCUGGGUUCAAUCCUUGGUCAAGGAA
rfam:Ovis aries breed Texel chromosome 2, whole genome shotgun sequence.